rnacentral:lncRNA from 1 species
CUCCUCACUCACGCUCUCACACAUCAUCUCCACGCCUCUCUCCCCUACGGGUGACAACCUUCCCAGAGCCUACAACUGCGUGGCCGCGCCUCACCAGAUCCGCCCGCCAGCGACCCACCUCCUCUCUCGUGUGUGACCAUGGUGGAUGCGGCGGAGGCACCACCAGAUCUGGACAUGGUGGCGGUGCCACCAGAUCUGACCGCGGUGGUGGCGGAUCCACCGGAUGCAACGACAGUGAUACUGGAUCCACCAGAUCUGGCAGCGGCGGUGGUGGAUCCACCAGAUGUGGCGGUAGCGAUGGUGGAUCAGCCAGAUCUGAUGGUGGUGAUGAUGGCAGC